rnacentral:misc_RNA from 1 species
GAACAAGUGAAUUCCAAAGUGGGUUGAACUUGUUGCGACGAUUAUACAUCACACGUGUUAGGUAGUUAUGCACUUCUUUGGGACCCAAGGAGUUCCCAUCAUCCCACAUGUUGUCAUACAAGAUAAGCUCAUCAAGGUACUUCAUUAUCUCCUGAAAAUCACUUAUUUCACCACUUGCACCAAGAAGGGAGUGUUUUCCCACUGGCUUUAAUCGAUCCACACUCUUGUAACGUAUCGUUGAACCAUAGGAACCUCCCAUGUCAGCUGCCAAGAGAAUACCAUCUUUGUACUUGAUGCCGACAACUGAUGUCCCAGUCACAUAUGGAAACUGUGUUCUCUGAAUAUCAGAUUCGGGACUCAUUAAGCUACUUUUAGCCGGAGCUGAAUCCAUCACAUUCAUCGUCGGAAAUCGGAAUAGUUGAUCUUCGAUCGGAGAAAAAAUAGCAGAG